rnacentral:lncRNA from 1 species
AACACACACCUGCCCGUUUCCUUCCAAUUCAAUUUUCUCUCCCUCAUCUCUCUUAUAAAACAGAACACACAAAAGAAAAAUAGGGGGGAUCAGCCAAGAAACCCCAUUGAAACCAGCUGAAAAACAUAUCAAAAUUCAGCCACUAAACAGCCCCAAAAUCACUCCGAAAAUAGCCUGAAAUCACCCCCUAAAAUAGUCCAAAAGGCAUAAAAAAUAAUCCAAAAAAUGAGCUGAAAACCUCCACCAAACAGCUCCAAAAACAGUCUCAAAACACCCCAGAAAUACCCUUGUUUCCGUCGUAAUUAUACCAUCUCCAACCAGCUCCUUUUCCUCUAACAAACAACUACAACACCAUCUUGAAACUAGUCCCAAAGCCAGCUAACUCAUUUCUGUUUCCAAAACGACACCACAGGUUCCUAAAAUACGACACGAAGACAUACAUGUCGCAACUGAGGUUCCUUCGGCUUCAGUCGCUCGUGGUUUGCUAUUAAGGUACAAUGAAAGCAUUGUUGUUGUGCUCAUUUUCAACUGCUGUAGAUCUUAUUUAGCGAAUAAACAUUGAAGGUCCAUUUCUUGACCUUACUUUCUAUUUUUGUUUUAUGUUGGAGAUAUAAAAAAUUAUGUUUCGUUCAUAUUAUUUUUUUUAGACAAACUAUUAAUGCAUCUUGAUUUUUCUUGAGUGCAUUGACUGUUGGAUACUUUGUUAUUCUUCAUUUCUUUGCCUACUGUGUUAGCAUUGAACUUGCUUCAGUAGUUUCCUUUUUUCUUAAGAGCUUUAUUGGUAGUUUGGACCUGGGUUUAAUUGAUAAUGGGCUGGAUUACAAAAUGGACUAUUAGCUCAGAUAUUUGGGCCAUGGGGUGGUAAGAACUUGGUUAUUUAGAGUUUAAAUGGGGCAUAGAUAUAGGUAAGAACCGUGUGGUAUAAGACUUGAGCCAUGUGAAAAUAAAAUGAAGAGAAUGUCAAUUUUGUUAGAUCAAAUGACUUAGUAAUAGAUGUAAAAAUCAUUUCGAUAACUCCACAUCAAUAAACUAUUGUCCUUACAAUAAUCUCUAGUUUAGAAAAUAAUUCUUAUAAACACUCGUAGUUUGCUUUUAGGCACGUUAAUAAUAAAACAUAGUGACUAUGGGUACGAUUCCCGCGACAUAGUCAUGAUACAUAAUCCUCAAUUCGAUUGCGUAUUUCAUGCGACUUGACCAUAACUUCAAAUAAUAAAAAAAAAACAUGUUGUAAAUUGCGGGUGCGUUUCACGUGGCGCGAUUCGCAAUGUGUACAAAAACAACGAGUGUGUGACAUCGCGACUUGUUCAGAUAAUUUCAUAUUUUAAUAAUUAAAAGCGGAUAGAUAAAACAUAAAAACCAAUAAAUCACAGUUUAUCCAAAAUUAAUUCAAGCCAAGUUGUAGUCAAUAAAGCGACCGUGCUAGAACAACGGGACUCAGGGAAUGCCUUACACCUUCUCCUCGGUCAACAGAAUUUCUUACCCGGACUUUAUUUUCGCAAACCAAUAAUAAAAGAGUCAAAUCUUUCUUUGAAUAGGGAUUCAAAUAAAAGGUGACUUGGAACACCCAAAAAUCAAAUUCCAAGUGGCGACUCUGAAUAAUAAAAUAAUCCCUACUUUAAAAUAUCACUUUAAUUGGAAAAACUCUUUAACCCACAACAAUCCAUAAUAUCUUUCUUUUGGGGGUAAAACGGGGUGUGACACUCAUAACCAUACUAACAAUCAUGAUAAUAAUUGAAAGCAUUAAAAUACAGAUUAAGGAAGAACAGAAGAGAAAACUCUGUGAUUCGUUGCUUCCAAGUGUUCUGUAGCCUUUUGCCUCUCCAAUAGUGUCCUUCCCCUCUAAAAACUAAGUUUAGGAAGUAUUUAUAAGGUAGGGUUGAGGUUUACACGUCCAAAAAUUGUGAGAAAAUAAAAGUAGCUCGGAUAGCAUCGUCUAUAGCGUCAAUGUUUUUGCACGAGGCAAUGUCUAUGGAGCCAAUAUUUCUGCGCAAGGCACUGUCUGACCAAUGACAGUGCCCUGGACAAUGCCCUGCACUGUCUAUGGCCAUUACUUUUCACUGCCUUGCACGUCUUCUUUUAUUGCUCCAUUUUGUAGCUCUGAUAUACCAUUUCGUUCAACUUUUCUCCAAUUCAUGUCCAAGCAUUCCUACACGUGAAAUAAGCUCUAUUAAGCACAAUUGUCGCACAAAUUAACAUCCAAACAAUAAGUAAGUAGGGUAAAUAACAUCAAAAUAUAUAGAAUUAUAGCACGACAUCAACACCCCACACUUAAAUGUUGCUCACCCUCGAGUCAACCAACAAAAUACUUCCUCUUCAAGGACCCAACAAGCCACACAUUUACAACACACUACAUCUAUGACCAUGGUUGAUAGCAACAAUUAAGCUUUAGCAUAUGCUGUCAAAAUACACUUCUUGUACUUAUGCCCAAUUUUAAAACAUUUAACACAGGAACAACAUGAUUAUAACAAUCCUAGCCUCGAAAACUAACUCAAUGUCACAAUGCACCCGAGGCUGGAAUACUUAAUCUAAUAGAGAGGUCUAAUAAUAUUACCUAUCCUUUGUGAAACCAUGUACCCUCACAAUAAAACAAAGAGUAAGCAGUCCACAUAUCCAAAUCACAUGAUCAAAUAUAUUUUAAGGACUCACACAUAUGAAGAAAAUCACUCACUCUCUCAAAGAAAUCACAUGCACGCAAAAGGUACUAUAGGCUUGCCCAUUAUGUAAACCUCUACUAAUGUAGGUUCGCUCAGUUCAAAAUCAACUAGGAUUUAUUAAGGUUGUAAUGUGGGCUAAGGGACGGGUAGGAUAUAUUUAGGAUAUAGUGGCUAACCCUCCUAAGCACUUUAUCACAUCACGUAUUCAACUUUAAGCGCAAAAUUCCUUCAAUCAUCACAAGAUAGCUCACCCCAUAAUAUUUUUCCUUCUUCUUUACGCACUGCUUCAGAUCACAUCUAGCAAAAAUAAGAAACCUUUAUUUAUUUAUUUAUUCUUUUUUUCUCUUUUUCUUUAUUUUCUUUUUGUAUUUUUUCCUUACCGCUAGUGGAGUUUUAUUAAAAUACAAGUGCACAUUUCUUCCUUCUAUUGGUUCCACUCAAAAUCUACCCCAAGUUUCCUCAUUACUUCUUUCUAGUGCUCUCUUUACAAUUCAAGUGCUUUAAGAGGUAUAAGGAUCAAAAUAGUUCGAUUAAGAAAAAAAGGGGAUAGGCUUUGUAACGACCCGGCCGAUCGUUUUGAGAGUAGUAGCCCCGAACUCCUAUUUAUUUCUUCCCUUAUUUCAUGUUGAGAUUACAUAACUUGCCGGUAGGAUUUGUUUUUGGUUACGGAGUGUAAUGGGACACAUAGUCCUUAAAAUAGAAGUUUAAGUCGUAGGAAUCGACUGUGGUUUGAAUUAUGUGAAGACGACUCCAGAAUGGAGUUUCGAUGGUUCCAAUAGCUUCGUAGGGUGAUUUUGGUCUUAGGAGCAUGUUCGGAUAUGGAAUUGGAGGUUCGUAGGUCAUUUUAGCGCCAAUUGGCGAAAGUUGGAAAAUUGGAUAAUUUUUGAAAAGUUUGACUGGGAGUGGACUUUUUGAUAUCGGGGUCAGAUUCUGAUUUUGGAAGUUGGAGUAGGUCUGUAAUGUCAAUUAUUACUUGUGUGCAAAAUUUAAGAUCAAUUGGACUUGAUUUGAUAGGUUUAGGCGUCGGAGGUAGAAGGUUGAAGUUUUAAAGUUCAUUAGGGUUAAAUCGAUGUGCAAUUCAUAUUUUUAGCGUUGUUUGAUAUGAUCUAAAUGAUCUACUAAGUUCGUAUGAUGGUUUAGGACUGGUUGGUAUUUUUGGUUGAGGUCCCGGGGGCCUCGGGUGGAUUCCGGGUGGUUAACGGACAAAAAUUGGACUUGGAGCAUAGCUGAGCUUUGUUGUGUCUAGUGUAAUCGCGCCAGCGCAUUUUGGGCCAAAGGUGUGGCACCACAGAAGCGGCCAUCGAGCAGCAGAAGCAUAAUUGGGACUGCAGCUGAGACCGCAGAUGCGGUCGUGCCCCCGCAGAAGCGAGCAAAGGCAACCUAGAAGCGGAAUUUGGCAAGGGAGUUGGGACCGCAGAAGCAGUUUGGAGGCUCGCAUAUGCGGAGUGAGGUGACGCAGGAGCGAAAGAAGCCGCAGAUGUGGGUCAAUGGUUACUUCUGCGACGCCGCAUAAGCGGUUAAGUUUUUGCAUAAGCGAAAAGCCUGGGCAGACUAUAUUAAACCAAGGGUUCGUGAUUUUAUCAUUAUUGAACAUUUUGAGCACGGGUCUUGGCGAUCUUUGAGAGCAUUUUCGAGUGAUUUCUUGAGGUAAGUCUGUUGUGUAAAUUUUUUAUUAAUAAUCUUGUUUCCCCAUUAAUUUUUCCACCAAGUUAGUGUAUAUUUAAGGUGGAAUUUGGGAGUCGAGGCUAGGUGUCACGACCCAAAAUCCAUAAUAGGUCGUGAUGGAGCCUAACACCGUUGUCAAGCAAGCCAACCAUAAUUAAUUAACUUCAUUACUCCUUUUAAUAUUUGAAAUCAUGAUUUUCUUUAAUUUAAUAAUAAAAGAAGAACUUUACGGAGUAAAUAAAAAUAAUUUCAUAAUUUCAAUACCAAACAACUCAUAAUCACCUCAAAACCCGGUGUCACAAGUGAAUAAGCAUCAACUAGGAAAUAUAAUAAAAAUGCAGCAUCUGUCCGGAAUACAAAUUAGACAGGAGAAACAUAAAUAACUCUUAUGGAGACUCUGCAGGUUGCGGAUCGUAACAUGAAAUCCAGCUCACAGUAAAUUCCCACAAUAUCCGCGCCUCUGCGCCCAAAAGACCACUGGGUAUAUAUGCACCUGCACAAAAUAUGCAGCAAGUGUAGUAUGAGUACGUAAAUCAACGCGUACCCAGUAAGUAUCUAGCCUAACCCCGGAGGAGUAGUGAUGAGGGGUCGACAUCGAAUCGACACUUACUAGAGGUCCAGUUAAAUAAAUAAUACGAUAAUUCAUACAAUUGUAAAGUACACAUCAAUAGGGGAGAAAUCCGAAGUUUCAUAGCGUUCCAAUUAUUUUCUUUUUAUCAAAAAUUUAUCGAUCAUGUAUCCUACCUCAAUAUCUCAGAAUAAAUUCCAAGUGUCAAUACCAAUCAGAUAAGAAAUACCAUAAAAUACCAGGCGUCAGUGAAAAGUUUAUCUCGUGAAUAUUCGGACUACUAGCGGUAUAACGCACGAUUCUGUCGAGGUCAUUCGGCCCUAUCCGGAGUAGUGUGUACACUGCCGAGGGUCGAACGGCACGAACUAGAGAUGCACCUUUAUAUACUGCCGAGGCGUUCGGCCCGCUCCACAAGAAAGGAAGGAAUUUAUCUCAUUCCAAGAGAUAUUGCCGAGGCGUUCGGCCUGCUCCACAAGAAAGGAAGGAAGUUUCUGAAUCACAAGAUACGCGCUUACAAUAAAGUACAUGAGCACAAUAAUAAGUACAUCUCUUUACAUUUAUCGAAUACCUUAGCAACAUCUCGGGGUAUUAAAGCUUGACCUGAUACUUUUAUUUCUAAAUCAAUUUCAGUUAUAACUUUAAUUAAAUAAGCCAGCAGAACAAGUUCAAAUAAUUUAAUUAUUACAGGAUAAGGUCCUAAGUCAACCCGGACAUAGACAUGCUUUAGCUACGAACGGACUCUCAUCACCUCGUACGUACGUAGCGCCCACAACUAGUUGUGCAUAAUAAUAAGUAUCACCUAGGGGUGGUUUCCCCCUUACAGGGUUAGAUAGGAGACUUACCUCGCUCCGAAGUUCCAUAACCGGCUCCAAAGCCCUCUAACACCUCAAACCGAUGCUCGUCGCUCCAAAACUAGUCAAUCAAUGUUCAAACAAAUAAAACUAUACUCUAAUACUCAUAACAAAUCAAUUUAGACAAAUUUCUAACUCCGCUCAAAAAGCCGAUAAAGCAACCCUCAGGCCCUCGUGCCCGGAUUCCAAAUUUUUUUGAAGAUAAACAUUACCCAUAACAUUACGAACUCAAAUAUAUGAUUUAUUCUCAAUUCCAUGCCCAAAUUCGUGGUCAAAAUCCAAAAAUACCAAUUUCUAGGUUUUCUACCAAAACCCCAAAUUUCUACAAAUUUCCAUGCUUGAAUUAUAAAUCUUGUAUUUAACUCACAACACGCGGAAAUCACUUACCUUGACAUAGAUGAUGAAAAUCCCUCCUUGAAGCUCUCUAAAAUCGCCCCAACCAAGUGAAAAAUGAGAGAAGAAGAGCCAAAUCCAACUCUUAAAAUGAUUCUGCCUAGUGAUGUUUCACACCUGCGAUGCCUUGCCGCAUCUGCGGUCCCGCACCUAUGACAAAAUCCUCGCAGGUGCGCAUUUCCCUUACCUGGCCAUGCUCUGCAUCUACGGACAAAAGUAACGCUUCUGCGAGCCCAUCCGCUCCUGCAACUACUGCUCUCGCACCUGAGGUCACGCAGGUAAGCCAAAACUUCCACACCUGUGGGCACGGACCAGCUCGCCCAAAACCGCUUCUGCAUCCCUCCUGGCCACUUCUGCGGCUUCGCACCUGCGGCCAAAACCUCGCAGGUGCGGUUACACCAGAUACCAGCUGCCUUGUCAUUUUACUUAGUCCAAAAAUUGAUCCGUUAAGCAUUCAAAACUCACCUGAGGCCCACAGGACCCCGUUCAAUCACACCAACCAGUCCAAUAACAUAACACGGACCUGCGCGAGGCCUUAAAUCACAUCAAACAACAUUGAAAUCAUGAAUCGCACCCGAAUUCAAGCUUAAUAAACUUUAGAACUUCAAACUUCUAUAUUCGAUGCUGAAACCUAUCAAAUCACGUCCGAUUGAAAUCAAAUUUUGCACACAAGUUACAUUCGACAUUACGGACCUACUCCAACUUCCAGAAUCGGAAUCUGACCUCGGAAUCCCAAACGGAUGUCGAUAUCAUUGAAUUGCACUUCAACUCAAAUUUAUGAAAUUCUUCCAAAAUAACAACUUCCAUAAUAGGCGCCAAAACGCUCCCUGGUCAUCCAAGACCCGCUCCAGACAUAUGCCCAAGUCCAAAAUCAUCAUACAAACCUAUUGGAACCUUCAAAUCCCGAUUCCGAGGUCAUUUACGUAAAAAUCAACCCUGAGCCAACUCCUCUUAAAGCUUCUAAAAUUAGAAUAUUCUCUCCAAAUCAACUCCGAACUUCCCGAAUUUCAAUUUCGACCACACGUAUAAGUCAUAAAACUCGAAGUGAAGCUACUCAAGGCCUCAAAUCACCAAAUGACGUGCUAGAGCUCAAAACGACCGGUCGGGUCAUUACACUAUGGAUUUGAGGAGUUUGAUUUGAGUAUUUGAGUGGCGACUUGUUGUUAGAUUUUGGUAAAAAUUGGUAUGGGUGAACUCGUGGUCGAAUGGGUGUUCGUAUUUUGUGACAUUUACCCGAUUUUGAGAUGUGGGCCCGGGUCGACUUCUUGGGGCGAUUUUUUGAUUCUUUGCCUAAGUAGUAGUUUCAUUAUUUAAAUUAGUUUUUUGUAGUUGUAUUCAUGAUAUGUAAUUGAUUUUGGCUAGAUUUGGGCCAUUCGGAGUCGAAAAAUCGAGGAAAGGGCAUCCUUAUCGAUUGAUUGGGCGAGAUUUGAGGUAAGUGACUUGUCUAAACUUGUGAGGGAAAAUCCCCUAAAGAUUUGGUACUAUUAUAACAAUAUGUGAUAUGUGAGCGCCGUGUACACGAGGUGAUGAGUGCAUACACGGGCUAACUGUGGAAAUUUUCGGUUCUUGCUAAGUUGUCUUCUUUUAAAUUCCUUAACUGGGUUGCCUUAGCAUAUGUAGUAAUCAUGUUUAGCCUAGUAUCGCAUGUUUACGUGCCUUAACUCUUACUUGCAAUUUGUGCAACAUGCUUAGUUGAAUUACAUGUUUACCUUGAUUUGAAUUAAAUCUUUAACUGUAGGAUUUCUUGCUGUAAAUUCGUGUUUCCUUCGAUUAUCUACUGCAUAUUUACUUUGGGAUUACGAGGCGGUUCCUCGGGAGAUCCUCUUGUACUGCAUAUUUACUUUGGGACUACGAGGCGUUUACUCAGGAGAUCCCCCCUGUCUUGCAUAUUUACUUUGGGACUACGAGGCGGUACCUCGGGAGAUCCCCUCUGUCAUGCAUACUUACAUUUGGGACUACGAGGCGAUACCUCGGGAGUGCCACUGUUGUUACCUCUAAUUGCUGAGCUAUUAUUUUCUAAAACUUCUCGUUGUUUUAAAUUCGCAGUCAUUACAAAAUAUUAUUAUAUCUUCUGCCUUACUUUUCUUUUAAACCAGUAGGGCCCUGACCUGACCUCAUCACUACUCUACCGAGGUUAGGCUUGGCACUUACUAGGUACUGUUGUGGCAAACUCAUACUACACUCUGCACAUCUUUCUAUGCAGAUCCAGGUUCUUCCUACAAGGCCAGAUACUAGUGAGCUGGACUAUACGUGGAGACUUCAAGGUAUAUCUACCAACGUCCGCAGACCUCGGAGUCCCUCUCUAUCUUUAUUAUGGUGUUUCCAUUAUUCUCUUUAGACUUGAUGUAUACAGACACUUAGUAUUUGCUCUUAAAAGCUUGUGACUUAUUUCCAGCAAUUUUUGGGAAUUGUUAUUAUUGAUAUGC